rnacentral:rRNA from 1 species
GAUGAACGCUGGCGGCGUGCCUAAUACAUGCAAGUCGAGCGAACAGACGAGGAGCUUGCUCCUCUGAUGUUAGCGGCGGACGGGUGAGUAACACGUGGAUAACCUACCUAUAAGACUGGGAUAACUUCGGGAAACCGGAGCUAAUACCGGAUCACAUGUUGAACCGCAUGGUUCAACAGUGAAAGACGGUCUUGCUGUCACUUAUAGAUGGAUCCGCGCCGCAUUAGCUAGUUGGUAAGGUAACGGCUUACCAAGGCAACGAUGCGUAGCCGACCUGAGAGGGUGAUCGGCCACACUGGAACUGAGACACGGUCCAGACUCCUACGGGAGGCAGCAGUAGGGAAUCUUCCGCAAUGGGCGAAAGCCUGACGGAGCAACGCCGCGUGAGUGAAGAAGGUCUUCGGAUCGUAAAACUCUGUUAUUAGGGAAGAACAAAUGUGUAAGUAACUAUGCACGUCUUGACGGUACCUAAUCAGAAAGCCACGGCUAACUACGUG